CGGGACGGGUGAGUAAUGUCUGGGAAACUGCCUGAUGGAGGGGGAUAACUACUGGAAACGGUAGCUAAUACCGCAUAACGUCGCAAGACCAAAGAGGGGACCUUCGGGCCUCUUGCCAUCGGAUGUGCCCAGAUGGGAUUAGCUAGUAGGUGGGGUAACGGCUCACCUAGGCGACGAUCCCUAGCUGGUCUGAGAGGAUGGCCAGCCACACUGGAACUGAGACACGGUCCAG
rnacentral:rRNA from 1 species